rnacentral:rRNA from 1 species
AACGUACGCUGGCGGCACGCCUAACACAUGCAAGUCGAACGAAGUAGCAAUACUUAGUGGCAGACGGGUGAGUAACAUGUAGGUAUCUGCCCUUUGGCCUGGAAUAACACGAGGAAACUUGUGCUAAUACUGGAUAAGUCUUUACGGAGAAAGCUUUAUGCACCAUUGGAUGAGCCCGCACUUGAUUAGUUUGUUGGUAGGGUAAUGGCCUACCAAGACUGUGAUCAAUAGCUGAUUUGAGAGGAUGAUCAACCACAUUGGGACUGAGACACGGCCCAAACUCCUACGGGAGGCAGCAGUGGGGAAUCUUGCACAAUGGAGGAAACUCUGAUGCAGCGAUGCCGCGUGAGUGAAGAAGGCCUUUGGGUUGUAAAGCUCUUUCGUCGGGGAAGAAAAUGACUGUACCCGAAUAAGAAGGUCCGGCUAACUUCGUG